rnacentral:rRNA from 1 species
AUGAUAGGUCUAUUCUGGAAUUGUAGGGGGGCAAGAAAGAAAGGGGUGAAAACCUGCCUUUCCCAUAUGAUUAAGGACCAUUCCCUUGACUUUCUUUGUUUGCAAGAAACAUUACAGAAGAUUUUUUUGGAUAGUUAUUUUAGGAAGCUCGAUCCACACAAUUUGUUUGAGUGGGAAUGGAUCCCCUCAAUUGGCAAGGCGGGAGGUAUCCUGUGUGGGGUUCGGAAGGAGAAGUUUGAAGUAGUUGCUUGGAGAAAAGGCAGGUUCAUUAUCUAG